rnacentral:rRNA from 1 species
UACGGAGGGUGCAAGCGUUAUCCGGAUUCACUGGGUUUAAAGGGUGCGUAGGCGGCUAUUUAAGUCAGUGGUGAAAGCCCGCAGCUUAACUGUGGAAUUGCCAUUGAAACUGAGUAGCUCGAAUCUGGUUGAAGUGGGCGGAAUACAUCAUGUAGCGGUGAAAUGCAUAGAUAUGAUGUAGAACACCAAUUGCGAAGGCAGCUCACUAAGCCAACAUUGACGCUGAGGCACGAAAGCGUGGGGAGCAAACAGGAUUAGAAACCCCCGUAGUCC